AAGGUACCCCUGGAGAUGACCACUUCCAGUUAUCUUUUCUCUGUUGCUAAACUGGAUUGCUCAGGAUACCCACACACCAAAGAAACUUUUUGAGGUUUGGGGAGAUGCAUCACUGCGGAUCCUCUCGUAUUGCAAAAAAAAAGAGAAGAGAGCCUUGGAUCUACCAGUUCAAGCAAACAUUUAAUCUGACAGCCUUGGAGAUCCCGCUUUGGAGAUGGUGCUUUAACUACUCAGCCAGCUAUCCUUUCUCCACUGCCAUACAGAUUGUGCAGCAAGAUGGUUCGGCUCUCAUACCAGGAGGCAAAACAAGAAUUUGUUGAUUUGUGACUUCUAGGUGCAUUAUU